GAUGAACGCUGGCGGCGUGCCUAAUACAUGCAAGUCGAGCGAACAGACGUGGAGCUUACUCCUCUGACGUUAGCGGCGGACGGGUGAGUAACACGUGUAUAACCUACCUAUCUGACUGGGAUAACUUCGGGAAACCGGAUCUUAUCCCGUAUAACAUCUUGAACCGCAUGGUUCAACAGUGAAAUUCGGUCUUGCUGGCACUUAUAGCUGGAUCCGCGGCGCAUUGGCUAGUUGGUAAGGUAACGGCUUACCAAGGCAACGAUGCGUAGCCGACCGGAGAGGGGGAUCGGCCACACUGGAGCUGGAACACGGUCCAGACUCCUACGGGAGGCAGCAGUAGGGAAUCUUCCGCAAUGGGCGGAAGCCUGACGGAGCAGCGCCACGCGAGUGAAGAAGGUCUUCGGAGCGUAAAACUCUGUUAUUAGGGAAGAACAAAUGUGUAAGUAACUAUGCACGUCUUGACGGUACCUAAUCAGAAAGCCACGGCUAACUACGUG
rnacentral:rRNA from 1 species